AUACGAAAGGUGCAAGCGUUGUUCGGAUUUACUGGGCGUAAAGAGAGUGUAAGUGGUUUAUUAAGUCGGAUGUGAAAUCCCGGGGCUCAACCUCGGAACUGCAUUCGAUACUGAUAGGCUAGAGUUUGGGAGGGGUAAGCGGAAUUCCGUGUGUAGCAGUGAAAUGCGUAGAUAUACGGAGGAACACCUGAGGCGAAGGCGGCUUACUGGACCAAUACUGACACUGAGACUCGAAAGCGUGGGUAGCAAACAGGAUUAGAAACCCUAGUAGUCC
rnacentral:rRNA from 1 species